rnacentral:rRNA from 1 species
UACGAAGGGGGCUAGCGUUGCUCGGAAUUACUGGGCGUAAAGCGCACGUAGGCGGCUUCUUAAGUCGGUGGUGAAAUCCUGGAGCUCAACUCCAGAACUGCCUUCGAUACUGGGAAGCUCGAGUCCGGGAGAGGUGAGUGGAACUGCGAGUGUAGAGGUGAAAUGCGCAGAUAUCAGGAAGAACACCCGUGGCUAAGGCGGCUCUCUAGUACGGUACUGACGCUGAGACGCGAAAGCGUGGGGAGCGAACAGG